UACGGGGGGGCGAAGCGUUGUUCGGAAUUACUGGGCGUAAAGGGCUCGUAGGUGGCCAACUAAGUCAGACGUGAAAUCCCUCGGCUUAACCGGGGAACUGCGUCUGAUACUGGAUGGCUAGAGAUUGGGAGAGGGAUGCGGAAUUCCAGGUGUAGCGGUGAAAUGCGUAGAUAUCUGGAGGAACACCGGUGGCGAAGGCGGCAUCCUGGACCAACACUGACGCUGAGGAGCGAAAGCCAGGGGAGCAAACGGG
rnacentral:rRNA from 1 species